rnacentral:rRNA from 1 species
UACGUAGGGUGCGAGCGUUGUCCGGAAUUAUUGGGCGUAAAGAGCUCGUAGGCGGCUUGUCGCGUCGGAUGUGAAAGCCCGGGGCUUAACUCCGGGUCUGCAUUCGAUACGGGCAGGCUAGAGUUCGGUAGGGGAGAUCGGAAUUCCUGGUGUAGCGGUGAAAUGCGCAGAUAUCAGGAGGAACACCGGUGGCGAAGGCGGAUCUCUGGGCCGAUACUGACGCUGAGGAGCGAAAGCGUGGGGAGCGAAAAGG